rnacentral:rRNA from 1 species
AGUGAACGCUGGCGGUAGGCCUAACACAUGCAAGUCGAACGGCAGCACAGUAAGAGCUUGCUCUUACGGGUGGCGAGUGGCGGACGGGUGAGGAAUACAUCGGAAUCUACUUUUUCGUGGGGGAUAACGUAGGGAAACUUACGCUAAUACCGCAUACGACCUACGGGUGAAAGCAGGGGAGCUUCGGACCUUGCGCGAUUGAAUGAGCCGAUGUCGGAUUAGCUAGUUGGCGGGGUAAAGGCCCACCAAGGCGACGAUCCGUAGCAGGUCUGAGAGGAUGAUCAGCCACACUGGAACUGAGACACGGUCCAGACUCCUACGGGAGGCAGCAGUGGGGAAUAUUGGACAAUGGGCGCAAGCCUGAUCCAGCCAUACCGCGUGGGUGAAGAAGGCCUUCGGGUUGUAAAGCCCUUUUGUUGGGAAAGAAAAGCAGCAGGUUAAUACCCCGCUGUUCUGACGGUACCCAAAGAAUAAGCGCCGGCUAACUUCGUG